UGGGUUGACCAGGCGGCCGCGCGCCACGGAAGUGGCUCGAGGAACGUCCGGGCUCCGCAGGGCAGGGUGGUGGGUAACGCCCACUCGGGGUAACCCGCAGGCCAGUGCCACAGAGAGCAGACCGCCUGCAUGCGGCGUGUGCUUGCACGGGCCGCAGGGCAGGUAAGGGUGAAACGGUGGUGUAAGAGACCACCAGCUUCCCGGGUGACCGGGAAGGCUAGGUAAACCCCACCCGGAGCAAGGCCAGACAGGACACGUUUGAGGGCUGCCCGCCCGAGUGUCCGGGUAGGCUGCUGGAGGGCGUCGGCAACGGCGUUCGUAGAUGGAUGGCCGCUACUCCUGUGCUGGUAACGGCACGGGAACACAGAACCCGGCGUAUCGGUCAACCCAUCCA
rfam:Arthrobacter sp. Leaf69 contig_3, whole genome shotgun sequence.